rnacentral:rRNA from 3 species
GCGAGUGAAGCGGCAACAGCUCAAAUUUGAAAGCUGGCUCCGGCCCGCGUUGUAAUUUGCAGAGGAUGCUUCUGGCGAGGUGCCUUCCGAGUUCCCUGGAACGGGACGCCAUAGAGGGUGAGAGCCCCGUAUGGAUGGACACCAAACCUGUGUGAAGCUCCUUCAACGAGUCGAGUAGUUUGGGAAUGCUGCUCUAAAUGGGAGGUAAAUCUCUUCUAAAGCUAAAUACCGGCCAGAGACCGAUAGCGCACAAGUAGAGUGAUCGAAAGAUGAAAAGCACCUUGAAAAGGGGGUUAAACAGUACGUGAAAUUGUUGAAAGGGAAGCGCUUGUGACCAGACUUGCGCCGGGCAGCUCAUCAGGGGUUCUCCCCUGUGCACUCUGCCCGGCUCAGGCCAGCAUCGGUUCUCGUGGGAGGAUAAGAACGGUAGGAACGUGGCCCCCCUCCGGGGGGGUGUUAUAGCCUGCCGUACGAUACUCCCGUGGGGACCGAGGUUCGCGCUCCGCAAGGAUGCUGGC